GUAAAGGUUUCGACAGGGGUUUUGAAGCUGGAGAAGCGAGUCGCAGGAGUGCGUAAAACUCAAAAUUAAAAUUAAACGCUAACGAUAGAAAAUUAGCUUUCGCUGCCUAGUAUAAGGUAGUAGUCCGACCGGUGGCACCCACACCACCGGAGCCGGGCUUCGACUAUGUGGGAAACGACAUCUGCAAAGCUUUGAGCAGUUGGGCGUAACAUGAAGCUACCAAAGGUGAUUGGUUGUUUGUUCCUGAUCAUCGGCGGGAAUCUCCAAGAACAAACUACACUCGUAGAAGGACAGGGGAUAGGUCUUUGGACACGGGUUCGACUCCCGUCUAGUCCA
rnacentral:tmRNA from 1 species